rnacentral:tmRNA from 1 species
GGAGACCAAGUUUUUGGAGAACUAUCAGAAGAAUAUAUUUGGGCCAGAUAAUGUUUACUCAUAAGAAAAUAACCAGUAAGGCGCCACCAUUCCAUCGCCCAUGUGGCGUGACUAGCGCUCAACUUUAGUGGGAUACGCCGGAGGCUUCCGCCUGGAGCCGAAGGAAGAAGAUCAAUCAGGCUAGGUAACGGGUCAGCGCGUCACUCCGCGAAUCCGAUACCGAAAUUUAAAUGAGUGACUGCGCUCGGAGAUGCUCAUGUAUCGCUGUUUUCGGACGGGGGUUCGAAUCCCCCCGCCUCCACCA